rnacentral:rRNA from 1 species
CCUACGGGGGGCAGCAGUGAGGAAUAUUGGUCAAUGGUCGGGAGACUGAACCAGCCAAGCCGCGUGAGGGAUGAAGGUACAGAGUAUCGUAAACCUCUUUUGUCAGGGAACAAAGGCGGGGACGCGUCCCCGGAUGAGUGUACCUGAAGAAAAAGCAUCGGCUAACUCCGUGCCAGCAGCCGCGGUAAUACGGAGGAUGCGAGCGUUAUCCGGAUUUAUGGGGUUUAAAGGGUGGGCAGGCGGUCUGUUAAGUCAGCGGUCAAAGCCCGGGGCUCAACCCCGGCCCGCCGUUGAAACUGGCAGUCUCGAGUUGGAGAGAAGUAUGCGGAAUGCGCGGUGUAGCGGUGAAAUGCUUAGAUAUCGCGCAGAACUCCGAUUGCGAAGGCAGCAUGCCGGCUCCACACUGACGCUGAGGCACGAAAGCGUGGGUAUCGAACAGGAUUAGAUACCCGUGUAGUC